rnacentral:lncRNA from 1 species
ACUUCAAAGGCUGCCCGCUCUUCCCUGCUUUCCGUUGCGACCCGUCCGGACCUAGGUUGGCAAGGCUGGCGGCGCGUGAGUCUGCAAGAUGCUCGCUUGGUUUCUGUGCUGACCUCGGGCAAGAGUGAAACCUGAUCCACGCCUUCCUUGUUGUUCCAGGUUGUUGGAAUUAGGGAUCCUGGGGAUGUGUGGUGGACUGCGGACCUGAGACUGAUUGACAGUAGGACUCCCAAGCGAUCAAUGCAAAGGCCUUAGGGGAUGCCCUGCUAGGCUUGUCCCAGGUGAUCUUCCCAGACUGCCCUGAUGCUACCUGACUCCUGGCUGCCUCUUGCGGGACCCAUCUUCACCUACCACCCGGUUUCUGGUGUUUCCACCAGCCUGCUUCUGUCCCUGGGGAUCUGGGGUUCAGAGAUUGUCCAGGAGAGGAGUGACAAGCGAAUUCUAAUGCCACACUAUUGUUUAAUGCUCCUGACUUGGAACAAGAAAGGCUGCUGAUACUUGUGUUCUUGCUUAGAACCCAACUUGUUUAGGUGUCACAUAAAUGCGGAGGAAAAGACACACAGUCACACACCAAAAAAUGGCUGCACAGUGAAUCUAUGAAAUUGCUACAUAGCACUUGGUUGAUAUUUAAUACCAAAAGUCUCCAUACCCUGUAAAAAGGACAGUCAUUUAAGUUCUUGACUGUAUAAAAUAAAUAUGGAAAUCAUAA